AGUAGUAGACCCACAAUGGAAAUAUUUUUUGAUGUAAAAGAUGCAAUAAGAUUAUUAAAGUCUUGGCCAUGAGAGGGGGUUUUGUUUUGUUUUGUUUUGUUUUUUGAUUUUUUUAAGUGUACGUCAUUUUUUGUUCCUCAUUCCAGGUGAAAUCUCUGUCUCUGCAAGUUCAUUCUUUGCCCAGUGAAGUCAUUAGGAAGCCUUAGUUUGACUUUGGGAUGGAACUUUGUUCUCCUUGUGGGGUAGCUGAGCACUGAUGAUUCCUGGGCUGAGCAGUGAGUUGGAAGUGACCAGGAAGCUGCUCUCAACUGUGGAUGUUCUGGAGUUGAGCAGAUACAGAAAGCCGACGCUGUGUCAAUGGACAAACUUCUSCAGUUCA
rnacentral:lncRNA from 1 species